CACAAUAAAGUGUGACUCACCGUGUGGUUCCCCACAGGUCCUGGGAACCUGAGAACUGAAAUGGGGAAAAUGCUAACAGUUCUUAGGAAACAAUCUGCUGUUAAAUCCAUAGCGAGCCACUCACAAGAAUUUAUUUUCCCAGCAGACGUAGUUCAUCAACGCAAGUAAAGCUUUCAUUUGACUCCAAAUUCCCUUCUGCUGGACCCAGGAAAAUGGUGGCAGUCUGAUCCCUGUCCCAUGAUUCUGUCCUGUAACAGAAGCUCUACUGCAGCAGGAUGGAGGUCCAGAAGACAGACAACAGGAGGGCCAGCUCUUCCCCAAAUGCCACCCCACUAAGCACAUCCAGCUCAACAAUAAAUUUCAGCAAAACUAGCUUUUAAUGUAUUACCGAGUUCAAGAAACUAAGGCAAAUCAGGAAGAACAGAGUUUUUAAAAACUAUUAAAC